AGUUUAAAAGUUUAAAACAUUAAAUUGCAAAUUUAAAAUUAUUAAAUAUAUUAAUUAUUUAAUUAAACUU
rnacentral:tRNA from 1 species